rnacentral:rRNA from 1 species
GACGAACGCUGGCGGCGUGCUUAACACAUGCAAGUCGAACGGAAAGGCCUUUUAGGAGGUACUCGAGUGGCGAACGGGUGAGUAACACGUGGGUGAUCUGCCCUGCACUCUGGGAUAAGCCUGGGAAACUGGGUCUAAUACCGGAUAGGACCGCACUUUAGUGUGUGUGGUGGAAAGUCUUUUCGGUGUAGGAUGAGCCCGCGGCCUAUCAGCUUGUUGGUGGGGUAAUGGCCUACCAAGGCGGCGACGGGUAGCCGGACUGAGAGGUUGGUCGGCCACAUUGGGACUGAGAUGCGGCCCAGACUCCGACGGGAGGCAGAAGUGGGGAAGAUUGCACAAUGGGCGCAAGCCUGACGCAGCGACGCCGCGUGGGGGAUGACGGCCUUCGGGUUGUAAACUCCUUUCGCCAGGGACGAAGCGUUUUGUGACGGUACCUGGAGAAGAAGCACCGGCUAACUACGUG